rnacentral:tRNA from 1 species
AGGGAUGUGGUGUUAACGGUAGCACAGCAGUCUCCAAAACUGUUUGUACGGGUUCGAAUCCUGUCAUCCCUGCCA